rnacentral:lncRNA from 1 species
CAAACAAACAAACAAACAAAACAAGUCAGGCAUAAAACAGAAUGGCUCCAACAUGCCGGAAGUUAAUUCCCCUUGGGUGAGUUCCGGUCUGGGUUGAGGAGACUUCCCCUAAGCACUUUCAAGGCCAGAUGUUCAUGUCAUGCCUUGGACCGCUGUCCUGCCUUCCAGGAUGAUUUCAGCUGGAAGCAUGGUCAGCGAGGGAGCAGUGACCCUAAUUUUCCUUCAAAGGCAGGACCCUGAAAAACAGUUUACUGCUUCUAAAGCCUCUCAUUGGCUAGAUAGCGAUCAUGUGAUCCUCAGAGCUGCGGGGAUCGCUGAAAAACAGCCUUUGAGGGCUCAUGCCUUCAGCCUGCACAGUGUUCUGAGGAAUAAAGGCGAGGGCCAGCCGGGAGCGACUUGUUUCCACUGUGUCAAGUACUUGGUGUCCAUUCAACUGAUAGCGCAUUAUGAAUCUUUCCACCCGCCACAUUGGCACUCAAACGAUACUAGUAAACCAGAAUUUAUUUCCCUAUUAAUAGAAAUAAAAGCCAACUACAAAAAAAAAAAAAAA